rnacentral:rRNA from 1 species
UACGGGGGAGGCAAGCGUUGUUCGGAAUUACUGGGCGUAAAGGGCUCGUAGGCGGCCAACUAAGUCAGACGUGAAAUCCCUCGGCUUAACCGGGGAACUGCGUCUGAUACUGGAUGGCUAGAGGUUGGGAGAGGGAUGCGGAAUUCCAGGUGUAGCGGUGAAAUGCGUAGAUAUCUGGAGGAACACCGGUGGCGAAGGCGGCAUCCUGGACCAAUUCUGACGCUGAGGAGCGAAAGCCAGGGGAGCAAACGGG